rnacentral:rRNA from 1 species
AGGAUCAUUAUUGAAUGAAACUUCUGGCUGGAUUGCUGUUGUGCUGGCCCUUUGGGGCAAUGUGCACACCCCUCUGGUCAUUUGUUUCUUCUGUUCCACCUGUGCACUGCCUGUAGACACUCUCUGUGUCUAUGAUAUAUGUAACACACACAUUCAGUUGUUUAGGCAUAUAUUACAUGUUUAAAUAUAAAAAUACAACUUUCAACAAUGGAUCUCUUGGCUCUCGCAUCGAUGAAGAACACAGCGAAAUGUGAUAAGUAAUGUGAAUUGCAGAAUCCAGUGAAUCAUCGAAUCUUUGAACGCAUCUUGCGCUCCUUGGCAUUCCAAGGAGCAUGCCUGUUUGAGUGUCGUUAAACUAUCAAAACACUUUUCUUAGGUGUUUUGGACAUUGGGAGCAUCUUGCUGGUAUGUUUGAGCCAGCUCUCCUUAAAAGCAUUAGCUUUGGAGACCAUCAGUGUGAUAAUUUGUUUACACUGACUUGAGUGUCUCGGCUUCUACUUUUUAAUAUCCCUUUGACCUCAAAUCAGGUAGGACUACCCGCUGAACUUAAGCAUAUCAAUAAGCGGAGGA